UGACACUAAUAAGCAAAAUAAGAGGGAAUAUUAAGAUGACAUCUACUAUGGUUCUAUUCCUCCUUCUUCUUCUUGUGUUUCCGCAUAUGGAUAAAGCCCUAGGCGCACACGAGGAAUCCCAGAAACAAGGUUAGUCUUUUGGUAUUUUAGAUGUUCCGAGGUCAUUAGUAUCAUUUUACGUUAUUAAUUAGUUGUGUUUAAUCCUGAUUUUGGUUUGAAUUUUGGAAUUUCUCCUCAUUUGAAUAGACAAAUGAGCACAAAGAUGAUCAAACAUUGACACUGUAAUAUAUAAUGUAAUGCUUUUCGGGUGGUGUAGGUGCAGAAAAGACUUACCAUGAUGCACGCUUUACUAUUCCUAUUAAGCCAAAAUAUAUUCCUAAGGUUAUACGCCCUACGCCAAAAGAUCCGCCUAUUCCGGAAUGUCUUCGAAAAGGCACAUGUAGUCGUCUUCAUUUAUCUCCUCCUCCGCCCCAGAGG
rnacentral:lncRNA from 1 species